UGCACGGUUAUGAUGAAGCAUUACGGAUGUAAAACAAGCUUGAAGCUGUUGACCGAGAGCGCAUACAACCGUGUGGAUCUUUCCGUUGCCUUCCUUCUGAGCCGUGC
rnacentral:snoRNA from 1 species